CGUAGGAGGCAAGCGUUAUCCGGAGUUACGUGGGCGUAAAGCGCAUGUAGGCGGUGGGGUAAGUGGCGUGUGAAAGCUCCCGGCUAAACUGGGAGAGGACAGGUCAGACUGCCGCACUCGAGUCCGAUAGGAGGGGCGUAGAAUUCCGGGUGUAGCGGUGAAAUGUGUAGAGAUCCGGAGGAAUACCAGUGGCGCAAGCGGCGCCCUGGGUCGGGACUGACGCUGAGAUGCGAAAGCGUGGGGAGCGAACGGGAUUAGAGACCCCGGUAGUCCACGCCGUAAACGAUGCGAACUGGGUGUUCACUUGCCGACAGGCAAGGGAGUGCCGAAGCUAACGCGCUAAGUUCGCCGCCUGGGGAGUACGGUCGCAAGACUA
rnacentral:rRNA from 1 species